rnacentral:lncRNA from 1 species
CUACAAUGAACCACCUUUGAUGUUGUUCCUCCUUUCCUGCUUCCUUAUCUUCAUUGAGAAACUUUUUCUUUUUUAAAUUUUCUUAACAACCUUACAUCAUAAUUCUUAUGUCUGCAUCAUCCUCUACAUCAAAAUGUUUUGAUUGUUUAUCAUGGAAAGCAACUUUAUCAUUCCCACCACUAACCUUUCUCCAACAAAGUCAUCUUAAAAACUAAAAAAUAAUAAAUCAAACAAUAAAGUUUAUACAGUUGAACCCACUAUUAACAUGAUUCUUGAACCAUCUUUUGGCAAAUAUCUUCAUCCUCGAACCCCAUCUAUGAGGGCAAAUCAGGG